rnacentral:rRNA from 1 species
AUGAACGCUGGCGGCGUGCCUAAUACAUGCAAGUCGAGCGAACGGACGAGAAGCUUGCUUCUCUGAUGUUAGCGGCGGACGGGUGAGUAACACGUGGAUAACCUACCUAUAAGACUGGGAUAACUUCGGGAAACCGGAGCUAAUACCGGAUAAUAUUUUGAACCGCAUGGUUCAAAAGUGAAAGACGGUCUUGCUGUCACUUAUAGAUGGAUCCGCGCUGCAUUAGCUAGUUGGUAAGGUAACGGCUUACCAAGGCAACGAUGCAUAGCCGACCUGAGAGGGUGAUCGGCCACACUGGAACUGAGACACGGUCCAGACUCCUACGGGAGGCAGCAGUAGGGAAUCUUCCGCAAUGGGCGAAAGCCUGACGGAGCAACGCCGCGUGAGUGAUGAAGGUCUUCGGAUCGUAAAACUCUGUUAUUAGGGAAGAACAUAUGUGUAGGUAACUGUGCACAUCUUGACGGUACCUAAUCAGAAAGCCACGGCUAACUACGUG